AACGAACGCUGGCGGCAUGCCUAACACAUGCAAGUCGCACGGACGUAGCAAUACGUUAGUGGCGCACGGGAGAGUAACACGUGGGAAUCUACCUUUUAGUUCGGAACGACACCGGGAAACUGGUGCUAAUACCGGAUACGCCCCGAGGGGGAAAGAUUUAUCGCUAAAAGAGGAGCCCGCGUCUGAUUAGCUAGUUGGUGAGGUACUGGCUCACCAAGGCGACGAUCAGUAGCUGGUCUGAGAGGACGAUCAGCCUCACUGGGACUGAGACACGGCCCAGACUCCUACCGGGAGCAGCUGUGGGGAAUAUGGGAAAAUGGGGGAAUCCCUGAUCCAGCAAGGGGGCGUGAGUGAUGAAGGUCUUCGGAUUGUAAGGCUCUUUUGGCAGGGCCGAUGAUGACGGUACCUGCAGAAUAAGCGCCGGCUAACUUCGUGCCAGCAACCGCCGUAA
rnacentral:rRNA from 1 species